AUUAUUUAGUGAUGUAAUAAAAAAUAGUUGCUUGCAACGUGUGGACCGUUAGCCAGGUGAGAUGGUGCUUUAUAAUGAACCCUCAGAGGGUCACAUGCUUGUCAACUCUACUCCCCAGGUUGGCAGCGUGCGGUGCUUCAGACUUCAGCCACUUGAAGCUCCUAACCAUCUUAUAGGAAUGGUACCACGUCCCUAUAAGGGUGGGCGGAGAGAGCACCAUCCAUAUGACUAGGGAGUACGGCCCACCAGAUGCAUCCCAACUACUUUGCCCCACUUGGUUACAGGCCCACGUGACUGGACCCGGCGAUAGGACUGUAUAAAGUAAUCAAUAUAAACAUAUUAAAAAAGCUAUAACAAGUCGAUGUGGGAUUUUUUUCUUCCUUAAACCAAACCAAAUCAAAAGUUGUUCUUCUCAGUUAGUGUAAAAAUGAUGCUAUCCGACUCUCCACUCCUCAUCUCACUGCACAACAGAGUCAGAGAGACCAAAAACCUCUUUUUCCCUCUCGACCAAGGAACCCAAUCACCGGCGGCGGCGCAGUUGCUUCGUCCUCUAAGACCGUGAUUUAAAUCUGUAUAACAUUUUCUGUAUCGUAAAAUAGCAUAAAAUGCCUGAAGGUUUCCACUUAGAACGCCCUCUGUUCGCCGGUGCCUUAACUAGCACCUUCCCUCAAAGGUUCCAGGUAUUUUUUUUUUCUUUUUAUUUAUUUAUUUUAUUUUAAUUUUA